UCCAACUUAAUCAAUGUGCUAACUACGAUUAGAUCUAAGACAAUUUCUGCAGCUUUGCUUCGGUGCGUCAAUCGCUUCUUCCGGCAAGUUUCCGGCGAACUUCCGUCGAUCAUCCGAUGAACCCUCGGUGAUGCUCCUGCGGACUUCCGGCAAACUCCUGGACUUUGCGACGAUCCACUUGGCGAGUUCCGACGAGCUUCGCUUGGCAGCCUUCUGGACUUCUCGGAUCUGUUCUCGCAGAACCUCUGACGACCGUCCGAACUUCUGUCGAACUCUCGAACUCCCAACGUGAUCAUGAACUUGACUCCGGCGCAACUCCUGCUGCUUGUCUAACUUUCAUCGUAGUUAAUCCUGCACAC
rnacentral:lncRNA from 1 species